rnacentral:lncRNA from 1 species
AAAAAUAAUAGUACAUGUAUGAAUAUUCAAAUUUUGACAAGUUUUGUACAAAAUUGGACACUUAAAAUUCUCAGAUACGAAUUCACACCAUUUGGAAUAGUGCAGGCAGAAUUGGUCGUUUUCCCUAAGACCAAACUAAGCAAUGAUGCUAAGAGAUGCACCUCAAGACCUACACCUUCUUCGAAAACUAUCAGGAUUUCUGGGAUCCGUAACAGACUAACAUACAUCUGUUGACAAGGGAGCCCGCACGGGCAAUCGGAGAGCCACCUGUAACUGCCAUUCCCAAGAAAACAAAUCUCCUUAGGAACCAGCCCCCACAGCUACAAGUUAGCCUCACCAACAAACCAGUGCCUCACCAUCUCCCGUUCGGAGUCUCUCCACCAUCUACAUCAGACCACGCCCGGAGUCGUCACGAGCCGAGACCUUAAGCACAAAUGCAAAGCUGCCGCACCAUGGCCAGGAACACACACCGCCAAGAGACCCAGGCCAUACAAAUUGAGGACGACACCGGAACUUCACCUCCGAAAGAGCCAAAACAAGCUACCGCUGAGCCACCCGCCUUGAGCCAUCAUAGGGAGUGAUGCGAGCAGGUUGUAGAUAAAGUUUUAAAUUUAUAAAACCCUAGUAUCCUGCAAGUGCACAGUCGUGCAAUGUAGUACUUAGUGUGUCGAUCCACAGGGAGGCUGUCUAAUCUGCAAAAACUUCAAACUGGGAUAAGUAAGCGAAUUAAUAAAAUCAGGGGGGUUUUUUUAAAGUUUUGAUUUUUACGGGAAAAGAAAAGAUAAAAUAAAACUAAGAAAAAUCCUAAACCUAAUCGAUAUGGGACAAAAAUGCAAAAAGGUUGGGUUUCUAAGAAAAAUCUAAGGCAUGCUCGAUUCAAACUAGGGCUCUAAACUCAUAGAGGGUCGACGCAGACUCUCCUGUUUGUCUUAAUCGACAUCUAAGUAUCUUCUAAUUAGUCUUCAGGUAGUAUGUCUUUAUCUAUUCCUAGUAUCUGCAUGGAACUAGAAUAGGAACUAAGAUGGCUAACCAACUCUCGUCACCUUAACCAACUAAUCACUUAAACUCGACAAGUAGCUUUCUUCUUUUGACGCGAGUAAGAUCAUGCGUUAACUGAACUGAAUUCUUUUUUGCUCACAUCUUCUCUGUAGGUAGCUUUCUUCUUUUGUCGUGAGUAAGAUCAUGCAUUAACUGAACUGAAUUCUUUUUUGCUCACAUCUUCUCUGUAGGUAGCUUUCGUCUCCUACACCGACUAUGUUCUUUUGAAGCUAUGUACGGUGAUCUGAUACAUCACUCUUGUGGCUCUGAUCAAUCCUACGUUCAGAGAUUAGUUCAUGACUCUAACCUCAAGCAUUAAACUCAACUUAGAAGAGAUGAGAUCUAGAAUAUGGCUGAGAAAAACUAGUAAUCCUAAUCGAACAUAUAGAUCCCUUCGAUGAAUCCUUAAAAACCAAACUACUAAACUACUCUAACAUGAUGCAUGAUAAGAUAAACACAAAUGAAAUAUGCAGAAACUGAAAUAGAAAAGAAAGAUAGAUAAAAAGGAGAGAGGUCAAAGGUUUAAGGGAAGAAUCCUUCUCUCCUUCGCCUAAACCCUAAGAAACAAAGUUUGGUGGCUCAAAAACUCAUUACAGGAGCACACACCCGAAUUAAGGCUGCUAAGAAAUGUAUUUAUAGGUCGUAAGGUCUUCUAGGUCUUCUUUAGGGUUUCUCUGAAGAGAAAUGACGAAAUGGACUUGAUGUUGGGCCUAGGGGAUGAGUUAUGAUGCACCAUGGGUGAGAGUCCUCCGGGACUGGUGGAAUGAUAGUCUACCGUGGGUGAGAAGUGUGGGGUGUGGCCAGAAGGUGGUUUUCCGCGGGUCAGCUGAAGUUUGGGGUAGUUGACAGGAUAACUUGAUCUUCAUGUAACUUUUGAUUGCACCGUUGGAUUGUCUUGAAGUAAAGUGCUAUGGUUAAGUCAGUUGGGUCCUCCUGAAUGUCUCCAAAUUUGAGCUGGAUCAGACAGUGAGAAGGUCUUCACUUGAGACUGAACUUCUGACGGUUUGACUUUGAACUAAAACUGUGGAUUUUCUCCAUUUUGCCAUGUUUUUUACCUGAAAAGAAUCUUGAAACGACAAAUAUAGGAAACCUGUAAUAAAAACGCAUAAAACUAAUUAAAACUUUUGAAAAAGCAUUUAAAAUCAAUAGUGAGAAUGGGUACAAAUACGGUGUUAUCAAGGAGACACCGCCGAUGGAGCCACACGAGCCGAGAGACGACGCAAGCCACCAUUCCGAGGCUAGCCACAAGACAAGAGCCUACACACCAAUUUGGCAUGAUUGAACCCAUCCUCUAGGUCUUGAACGCCACCGCCGGGUGUCAAAAACUCAUAUCUACAAUCACUGCACCCUAGACCACCAUCUCGGAAACUAGAUACAGAAACGAGACAUAGGAGAUGACCUUACAGGGAAGAGGAAGCAACUGCCACCACUUCACCACCGCAGUAAGCCGGGGUGUAGGCCGUCAGCACGAGGAAUUCUAAAACCAAAGCCAUAGCCUGCCGGAAGGGAAAAAUCAGAGAGCAAACUAAGAGGAGAGCCGUCGACAAAAAACAAGGCGGACAGAGGAGAGAGUGCGGUCUACACAGGGAGACAUCCAUCCACCACCGCGACCCCUACAACACCGCUGAGCCUGCUGUCAAAUGAGGAGCAAGCACCGAAAAACCAUCCGAUAGCCGCUACAACUGAAAAGGCAGCCAAGAGAUCUAAAGCAAAAACAAGAAAAGGAAAGAGAUCUGGCGCCCGCGCUUAAGGAGCCAACGCCGGAAAAAGAGAGAUCUGGAAGAAGAAACCCUAGCCGCAGAAGUCGACAGCAAGGAGAGCAAGGAGAAAGAAUUUUUUUCCUACUUUGUCAACGCUAAACGAAUUAUCGUGUGGCUGAGAACACCCAGCCAAGUGUUUUCUGAUAAUUAAAACUGAUAGUUUGCUGUGCGUGGUUUUAUUUACUUCAAACUUCAGAGUUCAGAAUCAACAUAUGCAUUUACUCAGCACACCCUGAAAAGUCUUUAGAAAAGUUUAAUGGAUCUCGAGUUUGAACGACA